rnacentral:rRNA from 1 species
GAUGAACGCUGGCGGCGUGCUUAACACAUGCAAGUCGAACGGAAAGGCUCCUGCUUGCAGGGGUACUCGAGUGGCGAACGGGUGAGUAACACGUGGGUGAUCUGCCCUGCACUUCGGGAUAAGCCUGGGAAACUGGGUCUAAUACCGGAUAGGACCACAUUUUGGAUGGUGUGGUGGAAAGUUUUUCGGUGUGGGAUGAGCUCGCGGGCUAUCAGCUUGUUGGUGGGGUAAUGGCCUACCAAGGCGUCGACGGGUAGCCGGCCUGAGAGGGUGUACGGCCAGAUUGGGACUGAGAUGCGGCCCAGACUGCGACGGGAGGCAGCAGGGGGGAAUAUUGCACAAUGGGCGCAAGCCUGAUGCAGCGACGCCGCGUGGGGGAUGACGGCCUUCGGGUUGUAAACUCCUUUCGCUAGGGACGAAGCGUUUUUGUGACGGUACCUGGAGAAGAAGCACCGGCUAACUACGUG